CAAUAGCGUAUAUUAAAGUUGUUGCAGUUAAAAAGCUCGUAGUUGAAUUUUUGCUUGCCGCCGAUGUCGGAACUUCCGUACGUUCGGCGGCGUGCAUCCUUGGGUGGAACCUGUGUGGCAUUAGGUUGUCGUGCAGGGGAUGCUCAUCGUUUACUGUGAAAAAAUUAGAGUGUUCAAAGCAGGCUUACGCCGUUGAAUAUAUUAGCAUGGAAUAAUAAGAUAGGACCUUGGUACUAUUUUGUUGGUUUGCGCACCGAGGUAAUGAUUAACAGGGACAGUUGGGGGUAUUCGUAUUCCAUUGUCAGAGGUGAAAUUCUUGGAUUUCUGGAAGACGAACUACUGCGAAANCANNNACCAAGGAUGUUUUCAUNAA
rnacentral:rRNA from 1 species